ensembl:lncRNA
CACCGAAUCACCCCGCUGCAGACAGGCACCCACCUGGUUCCACACUACAAAGAUGCAGAGGACACCAGAACACCAGACCAAGGCCUAUGGAAAGGGAGUACAUCAUGGUGUGAGAGCAUGGCACAGCAAAACUACUCACCACUUAGCCAAGUGUAAAAAAGGAAAUCUCUGGGAGGAGCAGAGCUGCCCCCAGUGCAGAGGACGUGAAAAUUCUGAGCUGCCAUACCACUGCCCCCAGUGUCAAGGAGCAGAGCCACCCCCAGUGCAGAGGAGGUGAGCUGUGUGGAUGCCAGCAGCAUACACCCCCAGCUUAAAUGAGAAGACACUUAAAGAAGUCUCAAAACCAGACUCCCAGAUCACCUAAAGUAACCCCAAAGGGAAAUGAGAUGGAACACUGUCAUACUCAACCACCUGGACUUGCCAAACUAACAUUGAAAGAGGAUCAGAAAAAAUGAAAUCAGAAAUCAUUUCUCA